rnacentral:rRNA from 1 species
GAUGAACGCUGGCGGCGUGCCUAAUACAUGCAAGUCGAGCGAACAGACGAGGAGCUUGCUCCUCUGACGUUAGCGGCGGACGGGUGAGUAACACGUGGAUAACCUACCUAUAAGACUGGGAUAACUUCGGGAAACCGGCGCUAAUACCGGAUAAUAUAUUGAACCGCAUGGUUCAAUAGUGAAAGACGGUUUUGCUGUCACUUAUAGAUGGAUCCGCGCCGCAUUAGCUAGUUGGUAAGGUAACGGCUUACCAAGGCAACGAUGCGUAGCCGACCUGAGAGGGUGAUCGGCCACACUGGAACGUAGACACGGUCCAGACGCCUACGGGAGGCAGCAGUAGGGAAUCUUCCGCAAUGGGCGAAAGCUUGACGGAGCAACGCCGCGUGAGUUAUGAAGGUCUUCGGAUCGUAAAACUCUGUUAUUAGGGAAGAACAAAUGUGUAAGUAACUAUGCACGUCUUGACGGUACCUAAUCAGAAAGCCACGGCUAACUACGUG